AUUGAACGCUGGCGGCAUGCCUUACACAUGCAAGUCGAACGGUAGCGGGCCUUCGGGUGCCGACGAGUGGCGAACGGGUGAGUAAUGUAUCGGAACGUACCUUUCAGUGGGGGAUAACGUAGCGAAAGUUGCGCUAAUACCGCAUAUUCUGUGAGCAGGAAAGCAGGGGAUCGCAAGACCUUGCGCUGAUUGAGCGGCCGAUAUCAGAUUAGCUAGUUGGUGAGGUAAAGGCUCUCCAAGGCGACGAUCUGUAGCGGGUCUGAGAGGAUGAUCCGCCACACUGGAACUGAGACACGGUCCAGACUCCUACGGGAGGCAGCAGUGGGGAAUUUUGGACAAUGGGGGCAACCCUGAUCCAGCCAUGCCGCGUGAGUGAAGAAGGCCUUCGGGUUGUAAAGCUCUUUCGGCCGGGAAGAAAUCGUAUCAGCUAAUACCUGGUGCGGAUGACGGUACCGGCAUAAGAAGCACCGGCUAACUACGUGCCAGCCGCCGCCGUAAUAC
rnacentral:rRNA from 1 species